UUUUGCUUCCUUUGUAUUAUUUUAUUUGGGCUUUUCGAUUUAAGUCCAGGCCCAUUGUGGACUUAUCUUUUGUUUAUGUCCAACCCCAAUUUAUCAUUUGCUGUCUCAGAGAAUGUAUCUAGGUCACAGCGCCGUCUUUGAUAUUGUUAAGAAGGCGCCUCCGAUGAGAAUCUAGAAACGCAUGCGGCUAUAUUUAAUAGGUCCUUUAAUCCAGGGAGUUAACAACCUUCAUCCCACUCUCCCCACUAUGUACCAUUAAUCAGAGCUCAGACCCUUCAUCUUCAAGCGGCCAAAGUUCUCCUAUAAAUUGCCAUUGUGUAGUGAUGAAGACGGCCAUAUCAAUGGAAACUUCAAGUCUCGACUCUGCUAAUUAACAUCUCCAACAAUGGUUCCUUCACCAUGUUUUCUUAUUUGGAAGGCGGCCGUUGUUCAACUAUGGCGGAGGUCCGUCUUCUUCGCUUUUGGGAGGCUCGAGAUAUUACUAAUGGGUGUCACGUUAGAGCGACUACAUACAAAAACAGGACUCUCAGGCUAAGGGUCAGAGAGGCUGAUAGGUUUAAUGAGAGGUUUGGAAUAGGGGAAGUCGAGAGUGGUGGGACUUUGAUUCUGUAAGACAACAUCAACACUAAGAUACAGAGGAUCAGAACAUUGAGAGGGGCUGUGUUUUAGAAAUGCGUAGAGAUGCUCUUGAAACUAUAUGGGACUUAUUGCAUGGUGAUGCUUCUCUUACGUGAUAAAGAAACCAUAUAAUGUUGCUUUGCUAUUUCAGAUUCUCUUUUGCUUUUUAAUGUGUUUUGCAGUAACCUUUUUAAGUUGUUUUCUUGGGGAUGUGAAGGAUUGAACUUAUAUAUUGUCCAAAAAAUAACAUAAUUUCUAUUUUGUGUC